GAUAGAAAAAUAGUAGUACGGUCAAAUAAACAAACGUUCUUAUUUUUACUAUGCCAUAAAAUAGUUACCAUGACCACGAAUAUGGUAAUGUGUAUAAAAAUAUCGUGACGACUACCACAAACUGUUAAUAAUUCCAAUAGUGAUAAUUACCAUGAAACAUAGUUCAUAAGAAUGUUUUGGAAGACUCCAUUUUUUGCUGCAGCUUCCGAAGCACCUAAAUUUUUGCCGCUAUAUAUUUUUAUUAUGAAUAUUCACCGUUGCUUUACCAUAGUUUUUUGAAGCGAAACUGCCUUGGUAAGUAAAUACGCAUCCAAGAGAACUGUUGUCCACUAAUGCUAAUCAUAUCCUGCUCGAUUUAACAGGUGUUGUAACGAACUCACGCCUCUAAGCACGAAACCAUAUCGGAGUGCAUCGGCGGAAUCUACCCCACGCUGGCCGAGUCACUGAGAACAUUCAACCCGAAGGAUGGUUCCAUGGCGGCCGCAAAUGGUUUUAGGAAAACGAUCUAUAAUUACGAAGUUAUCCACGCCACUGACAUUCCGGCCGCUUUUCAAGACAUGGGGCCAACCUGAACUGGAAGGUCAUCGAUGCGUACGCCUACCUGAUUCGGAAUGAAAUCCCCCAGCAGCUGGGCGAAAAACCAAUGCUAGCUGACCCGUUCCCUGUCCAUCGAGAAUGACGGCAUAAAUAUCCAUUGCAUCGCCGUUGGUCAAGCCGUAGCUGUCCAGGUAAUGAGGUUCGAUCCCAACCAACGAAUAUUGCUCGACCGAUCUCUUCAGCAGGAAAUCAGCUAUUAUUCACCGAAGAACAUACUUGCUGGCGGCAACAUCGAUAUAGUUAUAAUUAACGAUGUAAUUACAUAUCUACACCUGAGGAAUUAAAAUAAAACACCAAAA